GGAGAGUUGCCCGAGCGGCUGAAGGGGCUCCCCUGCUAAGGGAGUAUCGGGUCAAAAGCCUGAUCGAGGGUUCGAAUCCCUCACUCUCCGCCA
rnacentral:tRNA from 1 species